GGCGAAAGGGAGAGUAACGCGUUAGGAGACCUGCCCUCGGGCCCGGGAUAGCGGCGGGAAACUGCCGGUAAUACCGGAUAAUGUCCCCGGACCAAAGGUGUGAUUCCGCCUGAGGAUGGUCCUGCGUCCUAUUAGUUAGUUGGUGGGGUAACGGCUCACCAAGACGAUGAUGGGUAGCGGGCGUGAGAGCGUGGCCCGUCUCACUGGGACUGAGACACUGCCCAGACACCUACGGGUGGCUGCAGUCGAGAAUCUUCCGCAAUGGACGCAAGUCUGACGGAGCGACGCCGCGUGCGGGAUGAAGGCCUUCGGGUUGUAAACCGCUGUCAGUGGGGUGGAAAUCGGUUGGGGCACUCCCCUUCCGUUGACCUAACCGCANAGGAAGUCCGGGCUAAGUACGUGCCANCAGCCGCGGUAAUACGUACCGGACGAACGUUAUUCGGAAUCACUGGGCUUAAAGAGUGC
rnacentral:rRNA from 1 species